UGGGGGAUAUUGCACAAUGGGGGAAACCCUGAUGCAGCAACGCCGCGUGAAGGAAGAAGGUCUUCGGAUUGUAAACUUUUGUCCUCAGGGAAGAUAAUGACGGUACCUGAGGAGGAAGCUCCGGCUAACUACGUGCCAGCAGCCGCGGUAAUACGUAGGGAGCGAGCGUUGUCCGGAUUUACUGGGUGUAAAGGGUGCGUAGGCGGAUUGGCAAGUCAGUGGUGAAAACUAUGGGCUUAACCCAUAGAGUGCCAUUGAAACUGUUGAUCUUGAGUGGAGUAGAGGCAGGCGGAAUUCCCGGUGUAGCGGUGAAAUGCGUAGAGAUCGGGAGGAACACCAGUGGCGAAGGCGGCCUGCUGGGCUUUAACUGACGCUGAGGCACGAAAGUGUGGGUAGCAAACAGG
rnacentral:rRNA from 1 species